UUAGCUGAGGGCCUGUUUGGUGCCCACCAAUGCGCAAAGCGCAGGGCUCAAUCGGGAACGGGGAAGGGCGGACCCAAUGCGGCGCCCGAAGCCCCGGCCGCCCCCGCGACUGUAUGCGGCGAGCGCCCUUCACUGGCCACUGGGCAGGCGCCCGGGAAGGCGAAGAGGUGCAGCGACCCGCGAGCCAGGAGACCGGCCGACAGCCAUUUCAACCG
rnacentral:ncRNA from 2 species